GGUUAAUCCAGAGUAGUAUUAGUUAAGGUCUUGAAACUCAAAAAAUUUGGCGGUAUUUUAGUUUAUUUAGAGGAACCUGUAGUAUAAUCGAUAAUCCACGAUGGACCUCACUUAAUUUUGUUUUUCAGUUUGUAUACCGCUGUUAUUUGAAAAUUUUAUAAGAAUAAUAAUUUUCAUAAUUUUAUAUUAAAAAAUAAAUCAGGUCAAGGUGCAGCUUAUGAUUAAGUAUUUAUGGGUUACAAUAAAAUUAUUUAUAUGGAUNNNNNCAUGAAANUUGNUUUUUGAAAGCGGAUUUAA
rnacentral:rRNA from 1 species